CUCCUAGACUCCAUUUAGAGCUGACUGCCACUGGGGAUGGGUCUCUUGUUGGAGAUCUCUUCUUUUGGAGUUCUCUACUGUGAGCAUAGGGCACAGAAACUUGAAGGUAGAGGUCGCACAGAACAAACUGCAGUAUUUACAAGAUGCUCUAGGCCUGCAUUUCACAAGCCUUUGCUAUGAGUUAAAACAAGAUUUUGAAAUGAGGUUUGGGGGAAGACUGGAGACGAUGAGGGAAGCUUGAAAAAGAAUUUCUAUCCUUCUCCUACUUACGUGAUACAUGACCCCAUUCUUCUCUGCAGCUCUUAAAAGG